UACGUAGGGUGCGAGCGUUUGUCCGGAAUUACUGGGCGUAAAGAGCUCGUAGGUGGUUGUCGCGUUGUUCGUGAAAACUCACAGCUCAACUGUGGGCGUGCGGGCGAUACGGGGCAGACUGGAGUACUGCAGGGGAGACUGGAAUUCCUGGUGUAGCGGUGGAAUGCGCAGAUAUCAGGAGGAACACCGGUGGCGAAGGCGGGUCUCUGGGCAGUAACUGACGCUGGAGGAGCGAAAGCCGUGGGGGAGCGAAACAGG
rnacentral:rRNA from 1 species